UGAGGGAUGAAGGCUUUUGGGCUGUAAACUUCUUUUCUCAAGGAAGAAGAUCUGACGGUAACUUGAGGAAUAAGCCACGGCUAAUUCCGUGCCAGCAGCCGCGGUAAUACGGGAGUGGCAAGCGUUAUCCGGAAUUAUUGGGCGUAAAGCGUCCGCAGGCGGCCUUGAAAGUCUGUCGUUAAAGCGUGGAGCUUAACUCCAUUUCGGCGGUGGAAACUACAAGGCUUGAGUGUGGUAGGGGCAGAGGGAAUUCCCGGUGUAGCGGUGAAAUGCGUAGAUAUCGGGAAGAACACCAGUGGCGAAAGCGUCCUGCUGGAUCUCAACUGACGCUGAAGUACGAAAGCUAGGGGAGCGAAUGGGAUUAGAUACCCCAGUAGUCCUAGCCGUAAACGAUGGGUACUAGGUGUUGGCCGUAUCGACCC
rnacentral:rRNA from 1 species